GGACAGAAUGAGGGCUGUCAGAUCUGCAUGUUUUUCUGCUAAGGAGGAACCACACAUUAUCAUGGUCAAGACUGAGGAGACAAAUACAAUGUUUACACACCAGUGUCUCCUGUAGCACUGAAUCUUCCACAAGCACUGAUGCUAAACAUGACAAAUAUAACCAGUGGAAUGUCCCUUUUCAGUUAAAAGAGCCAGAGUAUGCUUUUGACUACAUAUUGGACCCAGCCAAUCAUGAUGCUAUCAGAGAUAACAUUGCACAAAGAAAAGGAGUGGGAAAUAUAGAUUUAGUGGUUGAUCUACACAGAAAGUUUGUCAAUGAAACAAAUCCAGGAGAGAAAGAGAAAGUAAGGCAAGAGUUUAUACAGGCUGUAGGAGAAAUACCAAACAUAAGUCACCCACAUUCU